GCCAGGUGCGGUGGUGCACACCUGUAGUCCUAGCUACUCGGGAGGCUGAGGUGGGAGGAUUGCUUGAGCCCGGGAGUUCAAGGCUGCAGUGAGCUGGGAUUGCACCACUGCACUCCAGCCUGGGUGACAAAGCAAGAUCAUGUCUCAA
ensembl:misc_RNA Metazoa_SRP Metazoan signal recognition particle RNA